UUACAUUUUUCAUUUUUGAAUGCACAAGAAGAGAAAAAAAGGUGAAAUAAAAUAUGCUGAAAUUAUAAUGCAAAAAAAAACAAAAAGGAAAAAUCCCCUAAAAAUCGUUCUGCUUUUGGUAUGUCUUGUUCACAAAACAAUCGUCUGAUUGAGAUUGAUUCUUUCAAUAUUUCUUUGUUUCCUUUUGAUUUUCUAGUGUUCGUAAAAG
rnacentral:lncRNA from 1 species